GACGGGGGGGGCAAGUGUUCUUCGGAAUGACUGGGCGUCAAGGGCACGUAGGCGGUGAAUCGGGUUGAAAGUGAAAGUCGCCAAAAAGUGGCGGAAUGCUCUCGAAACCAAUUCACUUGAGUGGGACAGAGGAGAGUGGAAUUUCGUGUGUAGGGGUGAAAUCCGUAGAUCUACGAAGGAAGGCCAAAAGCGAAGGCAGCUCUCUGGGUCCCUACCGACGCUGGGGUGCGAAAGCAUGGGGGGCGAACAGG
rnacentral:rRNA from 1 species